UUUCUCCGGUUUCCUUGAUCAUUGUUACAAUUCUUAGCUGCGGUGAUCUACCCGACAUCCCCUUACUUGGCCACUCUCUCUCAUUUCCUUCUCUCCCUUUCAGUUUCUCUCAAUUGAUCCCUCCAAUUCUAUCCAUCUCUUUAAUUUCCCUCUCAUCUUAAACUCCCAAGCACCCACAAAGCCUUGUUCAUCGUCGUCCCUAAUGUGUGGUCUUCAUUUAACCUAUGAAGAUAACUAGGAAUCAUAAUCAUUCAUUGAUUUCAGGUAGACUGCCUGAAAUCGUCGUCCUUGUUCAUCGAUUUCAUUAUGGGACUCUCAAAUCACCUAUCAUUCUUCAACCCAAAACCCUAAUAUGAACAACUUCGAAGCAUAUAAACAUUAAACCAAAUCAAGAAAUGAUCUGGAAAGCCUAACACUAAUGAUAGAGCAAGAUAUUGAAGAAAUUGGAGUAGAAAGAUUUCGUACUCUUUCAGGUGAACCAAGGGGACGCCAGAAAGUAUAACGGGAAUCUGAUGAAGUUGAUUUCACAGAAAAUAUAGUUGUGCCUUGCCUGAAUAUUCUUUCGGUUCCAGUUUUACAUUAGGUCCCUCCAUUGCAUCUUCCCCAUUACACAAAAUCUGAAACAAGGUAGCGAAAAAAUCCGAUUUUGCAAAGCUCCAAAACCCUUCAGCACCUUAAACUUUCUUAGUUUAGAUUCAAAUCUCAAAACAUCUUCCUCAGAACUACUUGAGACUGCUAGAUCUGCUACCAGAAAUUUCAGCAAAUUUUUCCUGAAACUCGUCCUCUAAAACAUCAACCGAAAACCUUAAAAGCCAAACUUUUGAAUAGUACAUGAAAUCCAAGCCCAUCGAUCAUUUGGUUUUUGAUCCAUCACGAUCUCUCAAGCUCAGCUUCGGAGUCGCAGCAGAGCUGGUGACAGUGGCUCAACUCCAGCACCGGAAUCUUGUCCAGCUCAGGGGGUCAACUUCAGCACCGGAAUCUUGUCCGGCUCAGGGGAGUACAUGGCAGAGAAAGGGGAGCGGUUUGAGAAUACUUUUGCAGUAGAGGUGGUGGCGGUGGCUCAACUCCAGCACCGGAAUCUUGUUUGAAUCAAGGGAUCAACUCCAGAUAAGGGCAUGGUUGCCAUGAAUUUGGACGGGUUCCUCCCUCACCUCUUUCCCCAUCCCCAUUUGUGGCUUGGAUUCCACCGCCUGCUCUGCCAUUAUAGAAGCUAGAGACAAAAUGAAGAUCUGAAAGAUGCAAUUUCUUCAAUAUCUUGCUCUGUCAUCGGCGUUAGGCUUUCAAAAAUGAAUUUUUGCACAUCUCCGUUAAAUCUUAA